CUGGUCCAACGGGAGGCAGCAGUGGGGAAUAUUGCACAAUGGGGGAAACCCAGAUGCCGCAACGCCGCGUGAGUGAGGAAGUAUUUCGGUAUGUAAAGCUCUAUCAGCAGGGAAUAGAAAAGAAGGUACCUGAAAAGAAGCCCCGGCUAACUACGUGCCAGCAGCCGCGGUAAUACGUAGGGGGCAAGCGUUAUCCGGAUUUACUGGGUGUAAAGGGAGCGUAGACGGAAAGGCAAGUCAGAAGUGAAAACCCAAGGCUCAACCAUGGGACUGCUUUUGAAACUGUCAAACUAGAGUACGGGAGG
rnacentral:rRNA from 1 species